ACGAACGCUGGCGGCAUGCCUAACACAUGCAAGUCGAACGAGACCUUCGGGUCUAGUGGCGCACGGGUGCGUAACGCGUGGGAACCUGCCCUUAGGUUCGGAAUAACUCCCCGAAAGGGGUGCUAAUACCGGAUAAUGUCUUCGGACCAAAGAUUUAUCGCCUUUGGAUGGGCCCGCGUUGGAUUGGCUAGUUGGUAGGGUAAAAGCCUACCAAGGCGACGAUCCAUAGCUGGUCUGAGAGGAUGAUCAGCCACACUGGGACUGAGACACGGCCCAGACUCCUACGGGAGGCAGCAGUGGGGAAUAUUGGACAAUGGGCGAAAGCCUGAUCCAGCAAUGCCGCGUGAGUGAUGAAGGCCUUAGGGUUGUAAAGCUCUUUUACCCGGGAUGAUAAUGACAGUACCGGGAGAAUAAGCUCCGGCUAACUCCGU
rnacentral:rRNA from 1 species